rnacentral:rRNA from 1 species
UACGUAGGGUGCAAGCGUUAAUCGGAAUUACUGGGCGUAAAGGGUGCGCAGGCGGUUCUGUAAGUCAGAUGUGAAAUCCCCGGGCUUAACCUGGGAAUUGCGUUUGAAACUACAGAGCUGGAGUGUGGCAGAGGGGGGUGGAAUUCCAUGUGUAGCAGUGAAAUGCGUAGAGAUAUGGAAGAACAUCGAUGGCGAAGGCAGCCCCCUGGGAUAACACUGACGCUCAUGCACGAAAGCGUGGGGAGCAAACAGG